GAUGAACGCUGGCGGCGUGCCUAAUACAUGCAAGUCGAGCGAACAGACGAGGAGCUUGCUCCUCUGACGUUAGCGGCGGACGGGUGAGUAACACGUGGAUAACCUACCUAUAAGACUGGGAUAACUUCGGGAAACCGGAGCUAAUACCGGAUAAUAUAUUGAACCGCAUGGUUCAAUAGUGAAAGACGGUUUUGCUGUCACUUAUAGAUGGAUCCGCGCCGCAUUAGCUAGUUGGUAAGGUAACGGCUUACCAAGGCAACGAUGCGUAGCCGACCUGAGGGGGUGAUCGGCCACACUGGAGCUGAGACACGGUCCAGACGCCUACGGGAGGCAGCAGUAGGGAAUCUGCCGCAAUGGGCGAAAGCCUGACGGAGCAACGCCGCGUGAGUGAUGAAGGUCUUCGGAUCGUAAAACUCUGUUAUUAGGGAAGAACAAAUGUGUAAGUAACUAUGCACGUCUUGACGGUACCUAAUCAGAAAGCCACGGCUAACUACGUG
rnacentral:rRNA from 1 species